UAGGGAAUCUUCCGCAAUGGACGAAAGUCUGACGGAGCAACGCCGCGUGAGUGAAGAAGGAUUUCGGUUCGUAAAACUCUGUUGUUAGGGAAGAAAAAAUGUAUAGUAACUAUAUACAAAAGAGACGGUACCUAACCAGAAAGCCACGGCUAACUACGUGCCAGCAGCCGCGGUAAUACGUAGGUGGCAAGCGUUGUCCGGAAUUAUUGGGCGUAAAGCGCGCGCAGGUGGUUUAGAAAGUCUGAUGUGAAAGCCCACGGCUCAACCGGUGAGGGUCAUUGGAAACUAAUAAACUUGAGUGCAGGAGAGAAAAGUGGAAUUCCGAGUGUAGCGGUGAAAUGCGUAGAGAUUAGGAGGAACACGGGUGGGGAAAGCGGCUUUUUGGCAAGCAAAUGACACUGAGGCGCGAAAGCGUGGGGGGCAAACAGG
rnacentral:rRNA from 1 species